UUUCCGUAGGUGAACCUGCGGAAGGAUCAUUCAUAAUAAAGUGUUUUAUGGCACUUUUUAAAAAUCCAUAUCCACCUUGUGUGCAAUGUUAGAUCUCGUCAAUCUUGGCGAGAUUUUUAUACAUCAACUCAUUCUUUAACUAAUUUGUCUGAAAAAUAUUAUGAAUACUUAAUUCAAAAUACGACUUUCAACAACGGAUCUCUUGGCUCUCGCAUCGAUGAAGAACCAGC
rnacentral:misc_RNA from 1 species